rnacentral:lncRNA from 1 species
AUGCCCCCGGCAGCCGCAACCGGCUCGGAACCGGGAGCGGGGCCGGGGGGCUGCGGGCACCGGGGGCUGCGGGCACCGGGGGCGCUUCCCCCCCCCCCCACGCCCCGCGCCGCCCCUGCGGAGCCGCCGGCGGGCGGUGCCCGGCGCAUCCUGGCCGUGCUCUGCCGCCUCCCCCGGUGCCACCGAGCCCAAACUUUGCCGGGAGCCCCCCCAGACACACACAAAACCCCGGUGGCAGCCCCCGGCUCACCUGAGCUCCGGGCGGCGGAGAGGGGCCGCGGCCGCCCCGGGGCUCCCCGAGCCCAUCCGGGGGAGCUGGGGGAGAGAGGAGCGGCACCGGCAGCGGCAGAGCUUGCGGGCUCCUCUUGCAUCUCCCAGGCACUGCAGAGGCUGCAUGUCCUUUGGGAGGAGGAGCAGGGACAAAAACAUGGCUGGAAAACAGCAAAAGCAGGACCCACACAAUCUGUGCCCCCGCAGAGCCAUGCGGAGCUUGUGCCAGAGCAUGGACGAUGUUUCCAGGGAAAUCAGACACGGUGGUGUCAACAGGGACUGCAGGAGCUCAUCCUCCAUCGGGGUAGGGUUUGGAUGCUCAGAGCAGACCCACACAGCAACCGCCAGGGACAAAAAUAAACGCCUGCCAUUUGGAGGAGAAACCAUCCCACACACAGAGGGUGAGGUGGGCUUGGCAGGGAAACACAAGCACCACCUGCUGCUGCAAGCGCUUGGCACGUGUCCCCAAGGAGAUCUAAGCGUGUGCCGAAGAGCUUCUCCUGUCUGGGCAGUUAUUGCAUGGUUACUGCAGUUACUGCAUCGUUAUUGCACAGUUAUUGCAUGGUUAUUGCAGUUAUUGCACCGUUAUUGCACAGUUAUUGCAAUUAUUUCAUGGUAAUUGCAGUUAUUGCACAGUUACAGAGCUCCCCACAACUAGAGCUCAUCAGGCUGUUGUAACUGGGCAUUGCAUCCUUUCCAAAAUAAAUUAAUUCUGUAAGAAAGUUGUUUUUUUUUUUUUACAAAAUCCUAUAUUUUCAAUAUGUUUUAAGAAAACGGUUACAUUAAGUUUUUGCUGCAUUUGCUUUUCAAAAAUCGAAAUGUUUGUGAUGUUAUUCUCUUUUGAAAUAUAUGUAAAUCCCAUCAAAUAGCUUCGGUUCGCUUCCAAUUAGUAGCAGUGCAGCAGCAGAGUGAAAAUGAAUGAAAAGCACUCUAGAAAACGUCUCAACUGAAAGCAUGUAAGGGAAAUACACGAUUUAGAUCAAGGCUAAUAAUAGAACUAAUUUAUUCACCUGUUAACCUGUAGCCAUUUCUCCAUUAAAAGUUGUUUGAGAACAAGCAGUACAAAAACUGCAUGAAAUCACAGUGGUUUUUAAGAGGUAAUGCAGGUAUGCCGAAUCCUGUCUCCCUGGGGGAUUUUCAAGCCUCUUCCAACCCUCACCUCUUCUCCUUCAGCCUGGGACAUCCUGAAGGUUUUUCUACAGGUAUCUGCGAGCUUUUGGGGGUCUUGUCACUGACAGAUGGUUUAACACCUUUACAAUUCCCUGGUACAGAGGGAGCAGCCUCCCUGUAGCCAUGGAGCACAGCCACGUGUAAGUGAGACACGUUCUGCCUUCAGCUCUUCCCCUUCCUUAAUGCUUCAUUUCAGAAGGAAUUUUUCAAUGUGGUAUUUCCCUCCGUGCUCUUUGGCAUCAACAAAUUGUUUUCAAAUCAUUUGCCUCGAAGAAGCUACUUUUUUUUUUCCCCAUACCGUGUGGGCAUGGUUACAGUCAGAAGAAUCCACACAUUUCUCACUAACUCAUUCUUCCAGCAAGCUCAGAUAACCCUACUGCUGUUCUCUUCUGCAGCACUCUGGACGAACUCACAGCUCUUUUAGCCGAUCUACUAAAGGAGAAGAAUCAUUCUGGAGCAAUUUGCUGCUAAAAUGAGGCUUCAGCAGAUGAUACGAGCAUCUUGAGAGACAGCACAGCACAAAACCCUGCUGCUCCACAAACCUGGAAAAGGCA